rnacentral:rRNA from 1 species
CUACGGGCGGCUGCAGUGAGGAAUAUUGCACAAUGGGGGGAACCCUGAUGCAGCAACGCCGCGUGGAGGAUGACGCAUUUCGGUGUGUAAACUCCUUUUAUAUGUCAAGAAAAUGACGGUAGCAUAUGAAUAAGCACCGGCUAACUCCGUGCCAGCAGCCGCGGUAAUACGGAGGGUGCAAGCGUUACUCGGAAUCACUGGGCGUAAAGGACGCGUAGGCGGGUUGGAAAGUCAGGUGUGAAAUCCUACAGCUUAACUGUAGAACUGCACUUGAAACUUCUAAUCUAGAGUAUGGGAGGGGGAGAUGGAAUUAGUGGUGUAGGGGUAAAAUCCGUAGAUAUCACUAGGAAUACCUAAAGCGAAGGCGAUCUCCUGGAACAUUACUGACGCUAAGGCGUGAAAGCGUGGGGAGCAAACAGGAUUAGAUACCCCUGUAGUC